CCCGAGGCCCCGCCCCCUGACCGUGCUCCUCCCGACCACCUCCCCGGGCCCCGCCCCUGGAGGAGCCUCUCCCCUCUGAUAGGGUUGUCCCCUUAGGCCCCGCCCCACGCCCAGCCUCGCUCUCCUGAUAGGGUCGUCACCCCGGGCCCCGCCCCACCUUGAGCCUCGCCCCAUUUAUGAGGUGGCCCCGCCCCGCGCUGAGUCUCGCCCUUCUGAUAGGGUCGUCCCCCCUUGGUCCCGCCCCCCGCAGAGCCUCGCCCUCCUGAUAGGGUCGGCCCCGCCGGGCCCCGCCCCAUCCCACUUCCCCAAAUCCGCCCACCUUCCCGGCCUCGGUCGUCUCUCAGACCCGGCCACCUUGCCAGCUUCCCCGGUUUUCUCUGCCCCCCUUCCAAGUUCUCCCGUCCCCAUACCCCCGCGGACUGGCCCCAUGUGCUACCUCCGGGGAGCCGCCGACGGCCGCGCUCGUCAGGCUUCGGGACACCACCUGUGGAGGGAGCGUGGGAGGUUGUUUCAGGGGACUCCCUGCACCAAGGACCUCCCCCCCCACCCCGCACCCGCCGCCCGCCGCCCGCAGCCCUCACCUCGUUGUACUCGGAAAAAUCCAGCACGGCCCGCACCGGAGCAGAGGAGGCGACGGAGGCGAAGAUGAGGUGUUUCCGUGUCUUCCCGGACUUUCCGAAGCAGGCUGCAGUUAGUGCCUUCCUAGGGCACUUAGAACCCCGUACAGCUUGUGAAAACGUGGGGAGACAGAGAAGCGUGGAGGCACAGAGACAGAGGUGGAGAUAGAGAUGACGGAGGUGAGAGUGAGACCGAGAAAGGCCGAGACUGACACAGCCGGAGACCAGGAGAGGUAAGUCCUGGGGCCGCCAGCAAAGCAGGUGGGACGCACUGGAGUCUGGGAAGAGCGUCUAGGGAAGGAGGUGAGGGAGACAGCCAUACAAACACGGGGGGGGGGGGGGCGCUCCCCGCAGAAAGAAAAAGGCUCAGGGCAGCAAUGUGCCUGUAAGCCUUCAGAGCAGCAAGGACGCGGGCGUCGCUGGAGCCCAGUGAGUGUGCGGAAGUGGGGGCCAGAGAAGUAACGGGGACCCAGAGCCAGUAGGACCUCGUGGCCCCUGUGAAGACUGUGACUUGACUGUGAGGCAGAUGGGAGACCCUGGGAGAUGUGAGCUGGGAGAGGGUGGUCUGGUCUGUGCUCUAACAGUCACUGUAGCUUCGUGUGUACAAUACGCUGAUGGGCUCAAGGGCAGAAACCGAAGACCAGUGGGGAGGCUGUGUCAUCCAGAUGCUGCUGGUCUGGACCGGGAGGCUGCAGUGACGCAGGAAGAGAUGAAAACGUGGCCGGAGAGAAAGAGAGGGAGGGACAGGGACCCAGAGACAGAGAGAGAAUAAGACACUGAAAGAGCGAAGGAAACGUGGACCAGAGACCCAGAGGUCAACCUUGGGCAGUGGCGGAGAGCCACACAGAUGCAGAGGUGCCCGGAUACAGAUGGCAUCAGCGCCAUGACCCGGAACACUACCCCACCCUCACUCACGCGUGGCGGCUGGACAGGAAGCGGAGCUGGGCCACGUCCAGGCCCCCGGCAGGUAUACUCAGGCCAUAAAAUCUGUGCUCCAGGCCUAUCACGAGGGCCCCCCAGGCUGGGGCCAGGGCUGCGGGGUGCCCUGUGAAGAGUGUCCGGUUGGGGUGAUGAGGGAGCGCGGGGCCACCUGAGGGCACAGUGCAGCCUCAGGGCACCCCCACCCUCAAGGUGGGAUCUGUGUGAUAGUCCCUGGACACUCCAGGCUACCCCAAAACAGGAAAGGAUAAAAAACCAAACGGUUGAACUGAUAAGAGUCUCCACCAGUUUACGAGAAAAAGGCAACCCCAUCAAUAGCCUGAAGUCCGGGAAGUCCCUACUGUCUUAUGUCAAUGCUUUGCUAGAGGGAGAAACAACCUUAGCUUGACCGUAGCUGGGCCUCCAGUAAGUCUUGAGCUUGUGAAAGUCUCUUUGGAAACUUCCCUUUUGACUUUACCUCCCCCAAGUCCAUGGCGUACAACCAGCCCUUCUACACGACCCCAGUACAGUUCUCCCCGCCCACGGGUCCUGUCCCCGCGCUUCAAUAAAGUCACCUUUUUGCACCAAAGACGUCUUCAACAAUUCUGUCCUGGCCGUGGGUUCCGGACCCCGCGAACCUCACCAUCACCCCAAAACUUCAUCAGGGGGUUAGAGCCCUCCCGCCUCACCGCACGACAACAUGGGGCGCCCUUCCGGCCCCCGCCAGCUUCCCAGCCCUGCUUCUUACCUCUCGUCACUGAGCCAGGCCUGAGGCUGCCCUCGCCCCCCAGAUGCAGGAACACGGGUCCAUGCCGGCUGGCCCAGUGUUGGUCAUUCACCCAGUACCGCUGAGAGGUGGGGUGGAGAAGAAGAUGAGGAUUGAGAGUUCUGACCUGUUCUUUAUUCCUAGUUCGCUGCGGUCUCUCUCCCUUAUGGGUCUUCCUUUAUCUACUUAGUAGUGUGUGAACUCGGCUUGUGUAGUUAUGUUCCUUUCUCUCCUGUUAGUCUCUUCAGCUAGAAUGCAAGGUCUGUAGGAGCAGAUAGUUCAUCGACGUUUUUACCCUUGUGUCCCCAGGGUCCAGGACACUGGCCAGCGGCGGGGGCCCUGGCUGUAUAUGGAAACGCUAAGCCGAGGAUAAGUGACGGGUGCAGACCAAUUUGGAAGCAGGGCCUAGGGGAGCUGACCUGCACACACUGUGCACACAGGAGGUGUGAAAAAUGGGGCAAGUGUUCAUCCAUCAGAUCCCUUCCAAUUCCUCUCGUGAGGACUGACUCCCCAGCCCAGGGCCCUGAGAAGCUGAGCGGGUGUAGACGCUGCUGAACUGGGAAACAGUUGGAAGAGAACGUACUGUUUCAGGAAGAAGGGGGAGAAGGAAAGAAAUCUUAGAAGAUGGCUCCUUUGAUGCCUCUGAAGGUCCUCAGCUGACAGCCGAGACCACUGUGGGACGGUGACUUCCUCUCAAGAUGUUUUGGUAACUCGUUUCAGCGUUAGUUUUAGUGUCACGGUUCAGUAUCACUUCUUUGGACGAUGUAGGAAGAAAGAUGUUUUUCACAAGAGACAGGAAAGAAAACUGAGGUGGCCAGGAGUGGACGGUGACCCUAGCCCGACCUGUGACCCCUCGUGUCACUGGCCACCGUGCCCAGGAGGCUCGCAUCAACUUACUCUGCACCAAACCUAUUUGAAGUCAGAAAAGGAAGUGGGUGUUCGGGGGAUUGCUGUGGACUAUGCGUGUUCCUCCCAAAUUGGUGCCUUGAACCCUAAUCCCCAAUAGGGUGAUGGUACCUGGGGGUGGGGCCUUGGGAGGUGAUAGAGUCACGAGGGUGGGGCCCUCAAGAAUGGGAAUAGGUGCUUAUAAAAGAGACCCUGGAGAGUUCGCUCCCCCAUUCCUUCAGGUGUAGACACAGAGAAAGACUGCCCUCUAUGAGCCAGGAAGCCAGGAAGGACACUUCCCCAGAUUCAGAAUCUGCUCCUGCCUUGAGCUGGGACUUCCCAGCUUCCAGAACUUCGAGAGAUACAUGCUUGUCGUGUAAGCCACCCAGUCUAUGGUGCCUCUGUUACAGCAGCCCGAGUGGACUACGACUGGGUUGGAGACACAAAGGAGGCCCACAAGACCGAGCCAGUUCUGGAAAGGCACACCCGCUCGUCUUGUGGUCAGUUUGCAAAAUAUACAUUUGCCUCAAAUGUCCAUGUGUCAAACAAGAAUCAGCUUUCAACUUUAGGGCAUGGUCUUGGGGGUGAAGGUCUCCGUGCCUAACUUAGGCCGUGGGAUGGGAGUGUUGAUAUGCCCUGAGGUGGGGUAGACAGGGGGGCUGCUGGCUGAGCCAGCGGAAAGUCCACUGCUUCCGGCGGGUUCGACGGUUAGGCACAGAGAACACAGCACCAGCCCUGCCCGCGGCUGCACGCUAGGUGCCCGCGUUAAAUUUCUCCACGGAUGAAAUGGCGUCUGGAAUCGCACGCGCAAUGGGAACAACCCCUCGACGACACUGACAGUAGCUUCUGUCACCCUGCACGAGCGACCUCUCUUCUACGACGACAGAUACAGAUACAGAUACAAUCACAGAAUAGUGAGACGGAGGGAAUCUCUACCCUGUCGCUUUCUAGUCCCCGAUGUUGGCACUAACCUCUGUGAUCUCUGCUGUUGUUUCACUGUUGUCAUCGUUAGAGGAGUUUCUAGUGGCUUCCACUUGGCCUUUUCUGCCAUCGUAGCAUUCACUCCGUGAGCCAUGGAAGUAAUAUUAAAGUUACCGUCUGGAAUUAGGGAAAUGGGUUCAGGGAAGGUUUCGGGACCCACCAUGCCCACAGCGAGACAGAUGGGAAGCAAGGCUUCACUGAGUCCCUGUCUUGCUCGGUGGGCCGCCGUGAUGCUUUGUAUCUCUAGGAAUCAAUGCCAGCCCGGAGCCAUUUUCUAGCAAUCCCCAAAAUUCCACUUCCUCUUCCCUAACGCACAGUCACUUUGCUAAGUGGACACAGGUCCUUUUAGGAAAGGCUCGGAGGAAGAACAGGGGUGUAAAUUUUUGUCUAUGUGCCAGGGGUGUUUCUCAAGGGACACUGGACUUCUCUGCCUUCAAAACCGGCUCCCGUCUGGGAGCUCAUACAAACUAAGUCCAAGGUCUACGUGCGUGCGGGACUGCUUUCUGGGGGGACCUCUAGGCCCGUAGAUGGCCUUUCCUCUGUGCACACUUGGAGAGAGAUUUCCGGUGUGUCUUUGUCUUCAAGCAAGGACACCAGUCCAGUUGGAUGAGGACCCCACCCUAUGACCUCACUUAACCGUAUUUACCACCUUAAAGUGCCUGCUUCCAAACACAGUCACAUAGGGGGUUAGGGCUAGAACAUGUGGAUUUUCAGGAGACGCCACCGAGUUCGUGACAACACCCAUCCAGUCUUUGGCAGUUUAUGGCCAACAUUUGGCCCCUGUCACCCUGGGCUCCAGUCAUCUCUGUUACGUGUGGGGAUUCCAGGUCAGGGUCAGCAAGGCCCCCCUGUCAUUUCUGGCCUCUGAGGAAAAGCCACCCGAGAACAACUCAAGGAUCCUGAGGCGCUCCUCAUGAACUUACUUCUCACAACCGGGGUGAAAGUUAGUUGCCCCCGGAGAAGCCCAUGACAAAUUCCUUCUAGAAUUUCAAUCUUCUUAGGCCUUGGGUUUGCUCUCCAUACACGGAGGAAAUACUGAUGUUUCAAUUUCAUUCUGUUGGUUCACCCUAACUUCGGGUCCAUACAUUAAUCACGUAUGAAUGAUAAUGUUUUAAUUAAUGACAAUUUGGAGCUGCUCCCAGGCCCUUGAGUUAAAACACUGAAUUGGAUACCUGUGCCAAGUAAGACUGUGUCGGUGAGCUUGUGUGAUGCAGCUUUAUUUUCCUGCCGCCUUGAUCCUGUCCACUCGAGAGCCAUUCCCAUUCAAAACUGCCAGGGUCCUGUCAAUAUAAACUGGGAAAAUCAUGCAGUUAUUCUGACGUGUGCCACACCUCCUCAUGGGUCACACUUUGUACUUGACCCUCUGGGGUCUCAGAAAAGGAGAGAGGUGGUCGUGACAGAUCCGGGAGAGUAUCAGCCGAGCUUAGCAAGACAAGGAGCUCAGAGAGGCCAUUACAAAUACCUCAGACAAGAGGAUACUGACCUACUUCAGGUUGGGAUAGGAAGCUUCUACCAGUUACUAGGGGAUUGUAAUCUGGAAGUGGGGAACAACAUCCCUAAAUAUGGUUGAGAGAUGUGAUGGUUCCCCCUUCUAAGCUUAUUCCAUUCCAGAAAAAAAAAAAUCAAGUCUUCGAUAUUUCUAAUUUUUAGCAAAAUCUCUGACUCAGACACAGACCCACGUAUCACUAAAUUCUUAUGCAAUUUACUCCUUGCCUUUUUCACUAUCCUACCCUUACCCAUUCCCCAAGACAGACAUUUACCUUUUACCUGAGUCGGUUCGUUUGUAUUUGAGUCCGUUCAGCUUUUAACAAUGAAUUUAGAAAGAUUUGUUCUCAGGCUGAGAACACGGUCUCAUCAAGAGCAACCGUGGCAUUACAUUUUGUGGCCAAAUAUCGCCCAUUUGGUUGGCAUAAUAGCGUGCGUCCAGUUCAACUGUGAUAGAGCGUGAGACCCAAGGGCGAGAUGACAUAACCUAGAGACGCUUGUCUCUACCAGCUGUCAGUUUGGGCAAGCGACAGUACAACAAAGAUAUCGUGACUCUAUGACUCUGUAAAGAAGACUUAUUACGGACUCCGAGUUCCUUGAGGACAAAGACUUCUUGCAUUUGCAUUCCACGCCUGGGAUGGUGUUCCCUAAACAUUUCACCUCCUUUGUGGGUCCCAGAAGCCUGGUAGCGAGGUGAAGCCACACGACUACUUCUACUCAACUCACCUGCGAAGGAAGACGCUGGGGCAGAAAGCGUCCGUGGCUUCUGACCAUCUCCUGUGCUCAGGCCGCUCAAUCCUGGUUCCCAGAGUCACUUUCUGUCACCAAGAGAGAAAUCCCCAUUGCAGGGACAGAGAAACAGGUGUAGACAGCAUGGGGUAGUCUUGAAAUCAAAUUCUCCAGUUAUAAUCAUUUCUUAAUAGGUGGAAGUCAGAUCAUUAUGCUGUACAUCUUAAAUUCAUACGGUGCUGUAUGCCAAUUCUAUGUCAAAACUAGGAACAGUUUUUAAAAAAUAACAACUUAUUAAUUUACCCCCCCUCCCCGAAUUCUCCAGGAUGAUGCAAGAAUUGGGGUCCUGGGUGAAGCCUUUGUUUGGUUAUGGCGGUUUUCUUUUUUCAUAAAUA